GCCCAUCACAAAAUGUCAAGUUUAAAGUCAAAUCCACUUUGUUCAGAUCCAGGUGUACAGUAGAACCAGGUGUCCAGAACAUCAGUUCCAGGAGGCUUAACGACAACGAAGGUGCAGCACGGAACCAUCUGUGGCCUCUAAAGUCUCAGCCAUGUUGCUUGACCAGAAAAUGGUUGCUUUUCCUGGUGGUGCUGAGUCUGUGGCUUGCAGCCAUGAGGCCAAGAUCCUGUGCAUCUGAUUCUUCCAUGAGCAACUUUAAAGUCUGGAAAAGGGACCCUCUGGUGCUAUAUUCCAAAUUCUUUUCUUUCCAGCUUUUUCUUCACCAUCAUCAAAACUCAUCCUUAUUUCUCUUUCCAUUGAUUAGAAGAACUUUUAAUUUUUCAUAAAUUAAGGAAACGAUAAUUUUUGCACCACUGGAAUUGAUUUGCUUUUCCCAAAUACUUUUGCUUGUUCUUUCAUAGUAAUAAAAUUCAACACUUGGGUAGGCUUUU